UACGAAGGGUGCAAACGUUGCUCGGAAUCAUUGGGCGUGAAGCGCACGUAGGCGGCCUCAUAAGUCGGAUGUGAAAUCCCUCGGCUCAACCGAGGACGUGCAUCCGAAACUGUGAAGCUCGAGUAUGGAAGAGGGUCGCGGAAUUCCCGGUGUAGAGGUGAAAUUCGUAGAUAUCGGGAGGAACACCAGUGGCGAAGGCGGCGACCUGGGCCAAUACUGACGCUGAGGUGCGAAAGCGUGGGGAGCAAACAGG
rnacentral:rRNA from 1 species